GACGAACGCUGGCGGCGUGCUUAACACAUGCAAGUCGAACGGAAAGGCCCUGCUUUUGUGGGGUGCUCGAGUGGCGAACGGGUGAGUAACACGUGAGUAACCUGCCCUUGACUUUGGGAUAACUUCAGGAAACUGGGGCUAAUACCGGAUAUGAGCUCCUGCUGCAUGUUGUGGGUUGGAAAGUUUCGGCGGUUGGGGAUGGACUCGCGGCUUAUCAGCUUGUUGGUGGGGUAGUGGCUUACCAAGGCUUUGACGGGUAGCCGGCCUGAGAGGGUGAACGGCCACAUUGGGACUGAGAGACGGCGCAGAAUCCUACGGGAGGCAGCAGGGGGGAAUAUUGCACAAUGGGCGGAAGCCUGAUGCAGAAACGACGCGUGCGGGAUGACGGCCUUUGGGGUGUAAACCGAUUUCGACUGUGACGAAGAGGGAGUGACGGUAAUGGGUAAAGAAGCACCGGCUAACUACGUG
rnacentral:rRNA from 1 species